rnacentral:rRNA from 1 species
UUGACCUCGGAUCAGGUAGGAGUUACCCGCUGAACUUAAGCAUAUCAAUAAGCGGAGGAAAAGAAACCAACCGGGAUUGCCCCAGUAACGGCGAGUGAAGCGGCAAGAGCUCAAAUUUGAAAUCUGGCCCCUCUGGGGUCCGAGUUGUAAUUUGCAGAGGAUGCUUCGGGUGCGGUCCCCGUCUAAGUGCCCUGGAACGGGCCGUCAUAGAGGGUGAGAAUCCCGUCUGGGACGGGCGGCCGUGCCCGUGUGAAGCUCCUUCGACGAGUCGAGUUGUUUGGGAAUGCAGCUCUAAGCGGGUGGUAAAUUUCAUCUAAAGCUAAAUACUGGCCGGAGACCGAUAGCGCACAAGUAGAGUGAUCGAAAGAUGAAAAGCACUUUGAAAAGAGAGUUAAACAGCACGUGAAAUUGUUGAAAGGGAAGCGUUGUCCGCCAGACUCGCCCGGGGGGGCUCAGCCGGCACGUGUGCCGGUGUACUCCUCUCCGGGCGGGCCAGCAUCGGUUUGGGCGGCUGGUGAAAGGCCCCGGGAAUGUAACACCCUCCGGGGUGCCUUAUAGCCCGGGGUGCCAUGCGGCCAGCCUGGACCGAGGCCCGCGCUUCGGCGAGGAUGCUGGCGUAAUGGCGGUCAACGGCCCGUCUUGAAACACGGACCAAGGAGUCUAACAUCUAUGCGAGUGUUCGGGUGUCAAACCCGUCCGCGCAGUGAAAGCGAACGGAGGUGGGAGCCCCCUCCCGGGGGCGCACCAUCGACCGAUCCUGAUGUCUUCGGAUGGAUUUGAGUAAGAGCAUAGCUGUUGGGACCCGAAAGAUGGUGAACUAUGCCUGAAUAGGGCGAAGCCAGAGGAAACUCUGGUGGAGGCUCGCAGCGGUUCUGACGUGCAAAUCGAUCGUCAAAUUUGGGUAUAGGGGCGAAAGACUAAUCGAACCAUCUGGUAGCUGGUUCCUGCCGAAGUUUCCCUCAGGAUAGCAGUAACGACAUCAGUUUUAUGAGGUAAAGCGAAUGAUUAGAGGCCUUGGGGUUGAAACAACCUUAACCUAUUCUCAAACUUUAAAUAUGUAAGAAGCCCCUGUUGCUUAGUUGAACGGGGGCAUUAGAAUGAAACGUUACUAGUGGGCCAUUUUUGGUAAGCAGAACUGGCGAUGCGGGAUGAACCGAACGCGAGGUUAAGGUGCCGGAAUGCACGCUCAUCAGACACCACAAAAGGUGUUAGUUCAUCUAGACAGCCCGACGGUGGCCAUGGAAGUCGGAAUCCGCUAAGGAGUGUGUAACAACUCACGGGCCGAAUGAACUAGCCCUGAAAAUGGAUGGCGCUCAAGCGUGCUACCCAUACCUCGCCGUCGGGGUAGAAACGAUGCCCCGACGAGUAGGCAGGCGUGGGGGUCCGUGACGAAGCCUUGGGAGUGAUCCCGGGUCGAACGGCCCCUAGUGCAGAUCUUGGUGGUAGUAGCAAAUACUCAAAUGAGAACUUUGAGGACUGAAGUGGGGAAAGGUUCCAUGUGAACAGCAGUUGGACAUGGGUGAGUCGACCCUAAGACAUAGGGUAGUUCCGUUUGAAAGUGCGCCCUCGUGCGCCGUCUGUCGAAAGGGAAGCCGGUUAAUAUUCCGGCACCUGGAUGUGGAUUCUCCACGGCAACGUAACUGAACGCGGAGACAUCGGCGGGGGUCCUGGGAAGAGUUCUCUUUUCUUCUUGACAGCCUAUCACCCUGAAAUCGGUUUGUCCGGAGCUAGGGUUCCACGGCUGGCAGAGCCCGGCACCUUUGCCGGGUCCGGUGCGCCCCCGACGAUCCUUGAAAAUCCGCGGGAAGGAAUAGUUUUCACGCCAGGUCGUACUCAUAACCGCAGCAGGUCUUCCAAA